rnacentral:rRNA from 1 species
UAGCGAAGGGGGCUAGCGUUGCUCGGAAUCACUGGGCGUAAAGGGUGCGUAGGCGGGUCUUUUAAGGUCAGGGGUGAAAUCCUGGAGCUCAACUCCCAGAACUGCCUUUGAUGACUGAGGAUCUUGAGUUCGGGGAGAGGUGAGUGGAACUGCGAGUGUAGAGGUGAAAUUCGUAGAUAUCGCAAGAACACCAGUGGCGAAGGCGGCUCACUGGCCCGAUACUGACGCUGAGGCACGAAAGCGUGGGGAGCAAACAGGG